GUGCUGACGAGUAGCGAACGGGUGAGUAACGCGUGGGAAUCUGCCCUAUAGUGGGGGAUAAGCCAGGGAAACUUGGUCUAAUACCGCAUAAUCUCUACGGAGGAAAGCGGGGGAUCUUCGGACCUCGCACUAUUGGAUGAGCCCACGUUAGAUUAGCUUGUUGGUGGGGUAAUGGCCCACCAAGGCAACGACGGGUAGCUGGUCUGAGAGGAUGGUCAGCCACACUGGGACUGAGACACGGCCCAGACUCC
rnacentral:rRNA from 1 species